GGCAGCGGGGGCGGGCGAGACCACAGGACGGAGGGCGCGGGGGAGCGCGCCGGAAACGCGCGGCUGGGGCCCGGGAGGAACCCCCCCACUCGGCAGCGGGCGUCGCGGCGCCGGCCCAAAGCCACGCCCCCUUCCGGCCGAGGCGCGGACCGCGCGGAGCUAAGUGGAAUCCCGGUUGGCUUGGGGCGCAGGCUUCCAACUUCGUACUCUGGCCUCUGGCGUCUCGGUUCGUCGGUUGGGUACCCGGACCCAGCUACUGCUGCUUGAAGAGAAGAUGGAUGGAGACUCCUCGCCGUCGCUGCGCCGCCGGCCUUCCCUGGGCGGACGCACACCUUUGCGAAGCGUCAGUGAGGACCCAGGGCCCCUCCUUGGAAUAGCCCUUAUUUCUCAGGCGCUGCAGCGUGAAGCUCGCUCUGCGGGUCCGAGAGGCCUGCGAUCUGAAGACUGAAAACUGGGAAGAGACGCUCUCCCCUGUGCUCCUCGCCGGCUUCGAUAGGAGCCGCAGGUGCCUGGGAUUUUCUCAAACUUUGUCCCAAACUUCAGCUGUGGAAGUAGAGGAACAAACAGGCCUCUCCCAGAAUUAUGAAAGAGAUCGAGAUCGCCCUGAUGGAUGAAACAAAAACAAAUGCACUUGACUUCCACCGCCUGCCUGGCGUGUCACGUGGGUUUAAUGUAUGUGUCACAUUUAAAUUCAAAGUAUUUUCUUCUAAGGGCCUGGACACAUUGUUUUGCUCCCUGUAUCGUGAAUUGGAAAAUACCCCAGGAUAUUAAAAGUUAUCUAAGAUAACCCCCUUUGUUCUGUAAGUUAAAUACUAAACGGCUGAAGACGAAAUUUUGGAAUAUAGAGAUGAUGAUGCAGACUGCAGUGAAUUAUCAAAUAUGCAUCUCACUGUUCUCCACAUUAAACAUAUUUUUGUUGCAUAAAUUCAUGUCUGCUAAUUGCUUAAUUUCAAUAAACAAAAAAGUUGUGUGUUAAACUUAAGACAUCUAUAACAAUUACACUUUGGUAAAAUUGUUGGAUGUUAACAUCUCUGAUAGCUCCCAAUAGAAAUCUCUGAUGUACCAACCAGACUGAUAAACCAUUAUCAUGCACUUUGAAAAUAUUAUAAAAUAUUAAAAUUAAAGCUGCCCUUAAUGAAAUAGUCUGAGCAACAAUAAAUUUACAAAGGAAAAUAAGAGUGGAUAGCCUUGGGAGUUCUCACAUAAAAUAUGGAGAUUUCAAAGUUAAACUUGAUUAAUAAUGUUAGGGUAAAAAGUGAAUUAAAGCAACAGGACUAUUUAUAAAAUAAUUAGAUUUAGAAAGCAGUAAUAGAAAUGUAAGCCUGGAGUUGCCUCUGAAUUACAUAUUUAACAAACCUAGAAGCUAAAUCAGUUUGUCUUUUAUCAAAACUGCAACUCCUCUAAGUUGAAAGCACAGUGACAAGAGAAAGCAUUACAAAUUCUUGAGAAAUAAUAGAAAUUAAAGCUCUUCUUUUCAAACCUGUGAACAACUAUAGUACCAGAAGUAUAAGAUUCAGAUAGGCCCAAGUUGUAGUUCUUGUUAUGAGUCCUACAACCCUAUAGACUUUGGACAAGUUACUUCUCUGCGUCUGUUUCCUCAUGUGUAAAAAGAAAAUAAUUUGUUUCAUACAGGUAUAGUCUAAAUAGGAAUAAUUACACCUACUUCAAAGUUGUAAAAUACAAAAUUACAACUAGAUAGGAGGUAUAAGUUCUAGUGUUCUGUAGCACUGUAGGAUGACUAUAGUUAACAAUACUGUAUAGUUUUAAAUAGCUAGAAGAAGGAUAUUGCAUGUUCCAAAAACAAAGACAUAAGUUUUUGAGAUGAUAGAUAUGCUAAUUCCCUGAUCUAAUCACUGUACGUUAUAUGUAUUGCAACAUCACUAUGUACCCCCAUAAAUAUGUACAAUUAUUGUGUAUUAAAAUUUUUUUGAACUAAAAUUAUAAGACAUUAAAAAAAGGUAUCACAUGUAAAGUACCUGAUACGUAGUGGUUACUCAAGUAUUAGUUGUCGGCCAUUGACAGUCCUUGCCUAUGGUCUUUUCUGCUUUCCCUGAGCUAAGGGAUCAAGACUUAAUAUAUGUAUUCUUACCUUUGUUCUAAUUCUGACUCUUCAAAAACUGUCCUUCAAAUAUACAAUUGUACAUAAUUUUUCAAAAA
rnacentral:antisense_RNA from 1 species